UACGGGAGGCAGCAGUGGGGAAUAUUGCACAAUGGGCGCAAGCCUGAUGCAGCCAUGCCGCGUGUAUGAAAAAGGCCUUCGGGUUGUAAAGUACUUUCAGUCGUGAGGAAGGUGUUAAGGUUAAUAACCUUAGCAAUUGACGUUAGCGACAGAAGAAGCACCGGCUAACUCCGUGCCAGCAGCCGCGGUAAUACGGAGGGUGCGAGCGUUAAUCGGAAUUACUGGGCUAAAGGGCACGCAGGCGGUUAAUUAAGUUGGAUGUGAAUCCCCGGGCUUAACCUGGGAAUGGCAUUCAAGACUGGUUAGCUAGAGUCUUGUAGAGGGGGGUAGAAUUCCAUGUGUAGCGGUGAAAUGCGUAGAGAUGUGGAGGAAUACCGGUGGCGAAGGCGGCCCCUGGACAAAGACUGACGCUCAUGUGCGAAAGCGUGGGGAGCAAACGAGGGAUUAGAUAC
rnacentral:rRNA from 1 species